UAGAGGGGAUGGUACAAUAGAAGCAC
rnacentral:piRNA from 1 species